CCCCUUUCAGGAUCACACCUAGAGAGUUUCCAAUACUCUACCAGUUUCAGCUACAGGAGGGAGAGACGAGCAGAGGCAUACCCAUUCCAUUCCUAGCUUGGCCAGUGCCUAGUGAGCGGAAGGCAAUCUGCUACAAGU
rfam:Ornithorhynchus anatinus chromosome 3, whole genome shotgun sequence.